rnacentral:lncRNA from 1 species
AGGGGCUGGUAGUGAUGUAGCUAGGUGGUUGUAUUAGGGGUUGUGGUGUAGCUAGGUGGUUGUAUUAGGGGUUGUGAUGUAGCUAGGUGGUUGUAUUAGGGGUUGUGAUGUAGCUAGGCUGUUGUAUUAGGGGUUGUGGUGUAGCUAGGUGGUUGUAUUAGGGGUUGUGAUGUAGCUAGGUGGUUGUAUUAGGGGUUGUGGUGUAGCUAGGUGGUUGUAUUAGGGGUUGUGGUGUAGCUCGGUGGUUGUAUUAGAUGCUGGUUGUGGUGUAGCUAGGUGGUUAUAUUAGGGGUUGUGAUGUAGCUAGGUGGUUGUAUUAGGGGUUGUGGUGUAGCUAAGUGGUUGUAUUAGGGGUUGUGAUGUAGCUAGGUGGUUGUAUUAGGGGUUGUGAUGUAGCUAGGUGGUUGUAUUAGGGGCUGGUAGUGAUGUAGCUAGGUGGUUGUAUUAGGGGUUGUGAUGUAGCUAGGUGGUUGUAUUAGGGGUUGUGAUGUAGCUAGGUGGUUGUAUUAGGGGUUGUGAUGUAGCUAGCUGGUUGUAUUAGGGGUUGUAAUGUAGCUAGGUGGUUGUAUUAGGGGCUGGUAGUGAUGUAGCUAGGUGGUUGUAUUAGGGGUUGUGAUGUAGCUAGGUGGUUGUAUUAGGGGUUGUGAUGUAGCUAGGUGGUUAUAUUAGGGGUUGUGGUGAUGUAGCUAGGUGGUUGUAUUAGGGGUUGUGGUGAUGUAGCUAGGGGGUUGUAUUAGGGGUUGUGAUGUAGCUAGGUGGUUGUAUUAGGGGUUGUGGUGAUGUAGCUAGGGGGUUGUAUUAGGGGUUGUGAUGUAGCUAGGGGGUUGUAUUAGGGGUUGUGAUGUAGCUAGGUGGUUGUAUUAGGGGUUGUGAUGUAGCUAGGUGGUUGUAUUAGGGGUUGUGGUGUAGCUAGGUGGUUGUAUUAGGGGUUGUGAUGUAGCUAGGUGGUUGUAUUAGGGGUUGUGAUGUAGCUAGGUGGUUGUAUUAGGGGUUGUGAUGUAGCUAGGUGGUUGUAUUAGGGGUUGUGGUGUAGCUAGGUGGUUAUAUUAGGGGCAGGUCGUGUGUGUACAUGCGAGCAUUAUCAGUCCGGCCGUGGUGGAGGAUACGGGGGCCGGUUCUGGUGGGCCGGUCUGGAUCAAAGUCCAGGGCCAUUCCGCCCCUGCUCUGAGACACUUUGUGGAUACGGGCCCUGAAGAGAUAAGCUUUGUGUUAGCAUUAAGCACAAUAGUGAUGGAUCCACCUAUUCAUCCUAUGUUCUUAGGGAAGGCAGCCAUAUUGUAGACCUAUCAGAGUUUUGAAUUAAAAGGCAAGCAAAGGAGGUAGAGGCUCAGGAAAGUGGCUGGGCUUGUUUUCACAUAGAUCCAGAUAGAAAUACAGUAGAAAUUAAACAGUUAUGGC